rnacentral:misc_RNA from 1 species
AACUUUCGGCAAUGGAUCUCUUGGCUCUCGCAUCGAUGAAGAACGCAGCGAAAUGCGAUACGUAAUGUGAAUUGCAGAAUGCAGUGAAUCAUCGAAUCUUUGAACGCACCUUGCGCCCCUUGGUAUUCCGAGGGGCACACCCGUUUGAGUGUCGUGAAUACUCUCAACCUUCUUGGUUUCUUUGACCACGAAGGCUUGGACUUUGGAGGUUUUUCUUGCUGGCCUCUUUAGAAGCCAGCUCCUCCUAAAUGAAUGGGUGGGGUCCGCUUUGCUGAUCCUCGACGUGAUAAGCAUUUCUUCUACGUCUCAGUGUCAGCUCGGAACCCGCUUUCCAACCGUCUUUGGACAAAGACAAUGUUCGAGUUGCGACUCGACCUUACAAACCUUGACCUCAAAUCGGGUGAGACUACCCGCUGAACUUAAGCAUAUCAAUAAGCGGAGGCU